AAAAAAUGACAUGGCAUUAUCAACUAAAAUGACAUGAUAAAGUGAUAAACUUUUUCAAAGUAUCUCUACCACCAUACAUUGUAACCAUUAUCAAACCUCUCUAACAUAAACAAGGCAUUCGUCUACUCUAGACUAUCAAGUUUUAUUCAUGGAUAUGGGCUAUUUUUUUUUUUUUUGGUAAUUAUUAGUUACUUAGGGCCUGUUUGGAUACCAAUGAAAUAUGCCAUAAUCCUGGAGUUAUGCCAUAAUUUAACAUUUUGACAUAAUUAUGUCAUAUUGGGUGUUUGGGUAGUUAAAUUGCACUACAAAAUUAUGCCAUAAUGUGAAUGUUAUGGCAUAAAAUAACAUUCCACUCUAAGUGGAAUAUUUGUUUAUGCUGAAUUGUGUGGCUGGCUUGUGUUGUGUCUUUCUCUCAUUCUCUCUAAGGCCAGUGGAGAUAUUUCAUUUUUAGGGUUUGAAGAGGCCGCCGUUGGGGCAAUCAAGACGGCAGAGCCUAAGGCCGACGCUGGAGCAUCCAAGACACCAGAACCAAAGGCUGACGCUAGCGCACCCAAGUCGUAUCCUUAGUAGGCCGAAACUAGGCUGAAAAAGGAAGAAUGGCUGCAUCGCCUGCAAGGUGUCGGUUGUUUCCUUUAUUUAUCUUGAUUUGUUAUGUGGUUGUGAAGCAAGAGGUAUGAUUAAUUAGGAGGCCUUGAAGAGCAUUUCUACUUAUACAUCUCAACAAUGAUAGCAACACAAUUUGAAAUUCAUGUUGGACAUAGUUUAAUGAAGGAAAAACAUAGAUUUUGUGGGCUUGGGUGUGGGUGUUGUUUUUCUUUACAAGGUUUUAGUUUUUAAUUGAUUACUUUUGUUGAUUUGUCCUUUUAGUAUGUAAACAUCAUUACAACGCUUUGGCUUUCAUGGAAUUACUUGGUUUAUUAACUUUCGUUUGAAGGAACUAUGAUUAUAGUUAUUUUGAUUUAUUGGUAUGUCUUGGAAUUACUUAGUUGAUAUGGUAUGUUCUGUACUCCAAAGUUGCCAAAUUGUUUUGCAACUAGAGUUUGCAUACUCUAUUCUGAAUUGUUCUGAUAAUUAGUGACCUUUCUGAACAUUAGAGAUCAUUUGAAAUAGUGAGUGGCUUAUCAUUAUGAUUUAUCUGUAUGUGCAUUGGCUCUUAUAAACCAAGAGUGUGCAUAUGUAUGUAUGUAUAUAUAUAUAUAUAUUAUAUUCCAUAUGUAUUCAAGUACAUUAGAGAGAGAAAGAUGGGAAAGAGCUGUGGUUAGUGAAACAAGGAGUGGCUUAUUAUUGAAGUAUUAUCAGUUCAUUGUUUAUUUCUAUAUGUUUAUAGUCGUUCUUCCAAAUUUUAUAUAUUCAAAUAUAUUAGAGACUGAGAAUGAAAGUGAAAUAGAUUGCUUUUUUUUAAUCAUUAAUAGUACUAAUAGAUUGGCAAUGGACCAAUGAUGGGUGGGUGCACAUUGAGGAGGAAUGAGUUUGCAUUGUCAGAGAUAGCUCCAUUGUCCUCAAUACAAAUGUUGGAUACUAAUAGAUUGGUUAGCGCUGGCAUCUUAUUAAACCAAACAAAAACCUUAGUUAACAUUCAUAUUAGAGUUUAGUUAAAUUUGAAGCAUGGUUUGGCAUGGUUUAGCUUGGUCCUCAAUACAAAUGUUGAAGCAUGAGUUAGUUAAAUUCAUUUAUACUAACAUUUUUCAUUAUUUAUGACUAAUAAAUCAAAUGCAAGUGAAAGUAAACAUGAAAGCAAGGCAAAGUGGAAUGAAAUUCACAAGGCUCACCUAGUAAGAUUAUUGGGUGAGUAUAAUACUCCUACGUAGCAUUCACAAAAUGGAUGGACUAAAGAAGCAUGGAACAAAAGGUACGCGACAUGAUAAGCAAGUUUUUUAAUCCAAACCUCCUACAAACCAAAUUAAAGCAUUAGAACAAGAGUUGAAAAAAUCUACAAACUUCUAAAAGGCCUUUCAGAAUUAAAUGGCAUUGGAUGGGAUUAUAAAGGACAUAUUAUAUCAUCCCCGGAUGAUGUUUGGGCACCACUACUGGAGAGGAAUAGAGAUGUGAGGAAAUGACAUAAAAGACCAUUUCCACAUUUUAUAGCACUGCUGGAGAUUUAUGAGGGGAGAUACAUUGAAGGUAAGCGAUCUUGUGGUGUAGAAGAUUAUGAAGUCAUUUCUGAAUCACCUAUGCUCUCCACAACCCCAAGUGUUUUUACUCCAAACAAGCCACUCCAAUCAUCAUCUAUUCACGAUACAGAGGAUGAUGAUAUCAUACAAGUGGAACAUCUUUGUCCUUAACUACAGAAUCCUCAAACUAAAAGUUCAAGUAAUGUAAUAGGAGAUGAAGAUGGACAUAGAAGAAAAAGGGAGUGAAAGGAAAAAAACACCAAGAUUCAUCAUUCAACAUGCAACAAUACAUAGCAUUUUGAGAGUGUGAGAAUAAAGAAUAUCUCGAUGAUCUUAAGGGCACUCAAGACAAUUGAAGAUUGCAUGAAGGUGUUUAACUCAAUGAGUGGCAUUUUCAGAGAGGAAGAGGUGUUCAAAGCCAUCCAAAUUUUAAUUAAAGAAAAGAGUUAUCAUGAACUCUUCUUAUGUCUUCAGGAUGAGCAUAGAGUGCCAUGGUUGAAGAUGAUGUUCACGAAAAUUGAGUAAUAGACAAUGAGUGUGACAUUGUUAUGUGUUUUCUUGAAUUUUAUGUGUUUUCUUUUGGAUUGACAUUGUUAUGUGUUUACUUAAGAUGAUGAACUUGUUAAAAUAUCUUUUUGGCUUGAUAUUGA